CACACAACUUUCUAAGCUGACAGUGGGCGGAUGGGUGUGUUUUCUGCUUCCCCUCUCAGUCUGCUCUCUGGCAGGGUGUGGUGCUGCUCAGUUAACCCUGUUGCUUUGCUCCCCCCCCCCCCCAUGAAUACAAUGAAUUCUCAUUACUGAUACCAGGGCAGUUAGCAGGAGAAGAAAACUCGCUUGUGUCUCCAACAUUGAAUCAACAUGCUACAAAGCUGAUACAUAAACAGAAUGGACCAUGCAACCUGAUAGUCUAGGAUCAUCCUGAGCUUCUGGUUCUGAUCUUCGACUCACUAAACCAAGAGGAAACAGAAGCUGUGGUUAAGGCACAAUGACAAGGAAAGAGUUACACCGGGCUGGAAAAUGCUGAAGCAUAAGAGGAUUAAACUGCUCAAAUAAGCACUGAA